UCCAGUUCCAGUUUAGGCUGCUCGGGCCCGAUUUCCAAGGGAGCUCUCCUGGCUGUUCUGCAGCUUCAGCUGUGGGAAAAGGACCGGGGUGGCUUUUCCCGACGUGGGAACCCUGCGGUCCCGCGGGGCUCCGCAGCCCGGGCAGCUGCCGCUGUCACUCGCGCCUCAGCGGGGGCCGCGGCACCUCCGUGACACUUCACUCCUGAAACAACAGCAGCCAUCCCCUCCCGCUAAACCCCGUUUGUUGGCUGAGGCAGCCACCUUUAACCUUCGUAAAAUCAACAUCUCUGCGGUCAAGCACUGAAAAACGCAUGGGAAAAAUGGCACGGAUGGAGGAAUUUCACUGGUUUUGGAACACUGUAAGAUAUGCAGCCCAUGAGAAGUGAAUUUACUGUCAGCUUCUGUCCUGGAAAUAGAGGCCCUGAGGGAUGGAGGUUUUGAGAGCAGAGGUUAUGUGCUGGCCUCCCUCGAGGUGUUUCUCUGCAGCCUAAGCCUUGAACCAAAUUUUCAUUGCCUGAUGAUCUGUCCUCCACGAGGUUCCAAGGCUACAGAAAACUGUUCAUGAUGUGCAGCAUAUGGAUCUUUGCAUACAGAAAGGGACAUAAAUAGCUGCCCAGUCCUGGGAGCAAGAUAAGAUGCAAUUCUUUGAACUGCAGGAAGGACAACACGAGUGAGUGACAGCAGCAAACCCGUGAGACUGGGGGAGACAACUUUAAUUUAUUUGUACAGCAUGCACAUGGAAGGGUCCUUCCCUCCUGUUUGGGUAAUGAUAAAUGACAAGAUGUCGACAGUUAUUAAUUAAACUGCCUGGCAUAGCAAUGUACAUGAUGAUAAGACCUAAGAAAUGUGUAGCAUUCCUCCUACCCCAUCAUGAGAAUGAGGCCCCUCCACUGUUCUCUGGCACAGCAGAGAUUAGACUAAAGCAUCAAUAUUCCACUACAAGCUGGCUACCUAGUAACUGCCUGAACACAGGGCCCUAAAAAUUGAAAUUCUCCCUCAUGUGAUGUGUAGUAAUUAAACUUCAGCAUUCUUUCUGCAGGAAAUGUUUCUCCUGUGUUGUUCCCACAGAUUGUGCUACAACAACAAUUUUAGCCCCAUGAACUAUUAACCAAUUAUGAAGGGAUUUUCUCAGUCUGCUUUAACUGAGGAUCAAAGACAAAACCCAAUUUUUUUUCUUGCCAGUUAUUGUAAUUUAAGAUGCAAAACCAGGCAUGCACAGGACUCAAGGCUUUGGUCAGUCAAACAAAAUGGACUUCGUAACUCAAAUCCAUUUAAACUUUUCUGAUUUGCCUUGCUAAUAUUCCAUCUGCUUUUCUUCCUUAACAAAUACAUUGCUACACAAUUGCAAUACAUUUAUUCUAUUCUACUUCCAUUUAUUUCUUUCACAUCCAUAUCUUUUAUGUAUGUGCUACUUGGAGCUAAGUAUGUCUAUAUACUGCCCAGUAACUCAGAAUGAAAUUUUUGAAAAUUAACUAAUUUUAAAUUGCCAUGGGCUGCAGAUGUGAAGAAUCCUUCUGUUAUUACUGCUAAAUGUUUUUAUUCUGGCUGAUUAGUAUGGCUUUUUUGGCCUUUCUUACAUAGAAGAUCUUUUUUUAAACUACAAAAAUGCAAUCUGGGUGAUUGUCCUUUAAAUACUGUCUUAGGAGCCAGAUAUCAAAAAUCAGUACAGCUCCACAGAAACUCAUAUCAGUUGCAGUUAUCUCUUGGGCAUGACUUUCCUCUUAGUUAUGUUUUUGGGGGUUUUUUUUUGGUUUUUUUUUAAGUUUUCUGGACCAGCCUUUCACCAGACUUGUGUGUGAGGUCUCCCUGAAGAGCCAGGUCCAAAUAAAUUUUGCCAUAACUGUCAUUUCCCUAAAGACCACCCAUAAAAAAUGUUUGCAUGAAUGCCCUUUGGCCUGUGCCAUUCUAUCUACACUCUAAAUAUAUAUUAGAAUUUAUAUUUCCACUGUUUGUAAAUUCAAGGUCCAUUGGCAUGUCUAUAUGUAACACAUACUUCAAAAUAAUAGUGGUGUUUUUCAGUAAAUACAGGGUGAUGGCACUGCUGACCAGACCAGAAUUACAGAUUUGAGGGCUGUGUAGCUUAAAAGUAAAUUGGAUGUGGGCUGAGUUUAUUGCUCACAUGCAAACUGCCAGCUCAGACUGUGCUACAAACCAGUUGCACACAUCCAAUGGCCCCUUUGAGGUUCCAAAUCCCCAAAAUAAUGAAGAACUAGUUAAAAUCCUUACAAGUUAGACAGACAACCCUCCAAACAGAAAAAAGGGAUCUGUCUGAGGGUAUGAUGCUUGGAUUCUGAGAUUAUGCCAGUUUUCCCACUAAGGAUGUCCUAUUCACUUACUCCUAUCAGUGGACAAUGCUCCAUUGAAUAUUUGCAUUUAUUAACACUUUUCAUUCCACAAAGUCCUGUUGUUCCACUGCAAGUGCAAGUUCAAUCCUUAUGACUGUUUCUGAUUUCUCAAUGCCAUAUUAGAGAUGUUACUGAAAAGAAACAGUUCUAGAGAAAAGUAUCUUUUCCAGUUGACCCAUUUUUGACUCCUAGAAGGAGUCUGGACACCUCUCUGAUUUGAAGAUUAAUUUAUUUGGAAGCCCAUACUAAUUGGUGAUCAGGCUUAUAUACACAUAUAUUUUCACUGGAAGUCUAUGGUGUUGUUUGUCCUCUUCCUCCCCUCAAUAAUUUCCUGAUAGCACUACUUUUGUUUCUAGACAUGCAGAAAUUCAACAUGAGUGAGAAGUUUUGGGUUUUGAGCGCUACCCUUAAUCUCAAGAACAAUUUUAGGAGAAAACUAUCACUUUUAAAACUAACUUCUCCUGCUAAUUUGACUAGGGAAAAAAAUAAGGCCCUGCAAAUAGCAAAACUCUCCAAAUGGGAAAGUAAUUACCUUAAAUUAAGCCUUAUUUCUGGUUAUAAAAAAAACCCAACAAAACAAGAAACCAACAACCACCCAAUUCUAAAAGCAUGUUGGGCAGACUGGAAGCAUUAGAGUUAAAUACUGGCCAGUUUUUAGUGAAAGGGAAGGAAAUAGAUGGGAGGAAGGAAGGAAGAAGAGAUUAGAGAAAUUGAGAGAUGUAAAUAGUCUCAGAGGAGCCACCGUGUCCCAAAACCUCUCCUAAGGGAAGUUUUUACACCAAAGAAUCUGGAGGCCUGAAUGAAGAAUGACAUCACUUAUUUAUUUAGCCAGAGCUGAGUUGUUUUCUUAAUUGAAAUAACCUCAUGCUGCAAGCAUUAAAUUGUUGGUGGAGUGAUAAUGAUGUCUGUUUAAUUUAGGGGCUUGAUAACCAUGAAAUAAAUGCCCUGUUAUUCCUUGGUUUGAGAGUAUAUUUAAAUUGCCUGGAAAGACAUGAACUAGAAAGCUUGAGCCUUAGGGUUAAUGCUCCAAACAGCCUGAUGUGGGAGUCUUCAGGGGGGAGAUGCAUGACUUUGGAUUUGUAACUCAGUCAAGGAUUUGGGGCUACUCCCCUUUGAGAUGAAAAUGAUGGUAUUACCCUUCUGGACACCAUGAACAGACCAACGUGUUCUCAAGUUCAUAAGAAAAUUCCCAAUUUCCAUCUAAAGUGCGAGUUCCCAGGUGUCAUGACAGGCCCACUGGUAUCAGCUGUAAUCUGAGUGCCCAAUAUGGGGCACAUCACACACUGCCUCACCUGGGAGGGUUAAAAUGGGUGUUUAUGGCUCCAGAAGAACUUAGAGCAGACUUCCAACACCUAAAUAGGGUCUACAGGAAA